UACGUAGGGUGCAGGCGUUAAUCGGAAUUACUGGGCGUAAAGCGUGCGCAGGCGGUGAUGUAAGACAGAUGUGAAAUCCCCGGGCUCAACCUGGGAACUGCAUUUGUGACUGCAUCGCUGGAGUGCGGCAGAGGGGGGUGGAAUUCCACGUGUAGCAGUGAAAUGCGUAGAUAUCUGGAGGAAUACCGGUGGCGAAGGCGGCAUCCUGGACCGACAUUGACGCUGAGGAGCGAAAGCUAGGGGAGCAAACGGG
rnacentral:rRNA from 1 species